AUUGAACGCUGGCGGCAGGCUUAACACAUGCAAGUCGAGCGGGGGAAGGUAGCUUGCUACCGGACCUAGCGGCGGACGGGUGAGUAAUGCUUAGGAAUCUGCCUAUUAGUGGGGGACAACAUCUCGAAAGGGAUGCUAAUACCGCAUACGUCCUACGGGAGAAAGCAGGGGAUCUUCGGACCUUGCGCUAAUAGAUGAGCCUAGGUCGGAUUAGCUAGUUGGUGGGGUAAAGGCCUACCAAGGCGACGAUCUGUAGCGGGUCCGAGAGGAUGAUCCGCCACACUGGGACUGAGACACGGCCCAGACUCCUACGGGAGGCAGCAGUGGGGAAUAUUGGACAAUGGGGGGAACCCUGAUCCAGCCAUGCCGCGUGUGUGAAGAAGGCCUUAUGGUUGUAAAGCACUUUAAGCGAGGAGGAGGCUCUUUUGGUUAAUACCCAAGAUGAGUGGACGUUACUCGCAGAAUAAGCACCGGCUAACCCUGUGCCAGCCGCCGCAGUAA
rnacentral:rRNA from 1 species